ensembl:lncRNA
GAUUGCACAGCCAUUAAGGAUCAAAUCAGUUUCUGAAAAAUGUUCUGUUUUUUCUCCCUCUGCUUGCUUCUUACUGUCUUUGAGGCUCGGGACCAGCACUCCUGCUGUUGGACAGAAAGACAUCAACUUGAGAUAUGACUGCACUAUGCUGUUGCUGUGACUCCAGUUAAUUCUACAAGACAUGCUGUGACACCAGGAGAGAUGAGUCCUCCGUCACAGAUGGUGUGGUCAAUGAAGAUGGUCGCCUGCAGGUUCAAGCUCAUUGCAUCUCCAACCCACAUCCACUGCCACUGUACUUAAGGGAAGUUAAAGACUUUCUUCUGCACCUACAUUUGGAUCACCUCGAUCCAUGACAGUCAUUCAGGCAGUAAUGCCUGGACUGGAAACAAGCAUCCUUAAAAUAAUACAACAUUCCAGCUCAUGUGUUGGAAUGGAAAACAAAUGUCUUGUUUAAAUUAGAGACUGCACUUGUGACAGAACAACAAAUAUUUUAUUUUGAUUAUAUAAGUAAGU